AUUUUCGUGCAUGUACGUGAAACACAGCUCGAGGGCUGUUGAUUUUUUUACGAUAGGUGGCGCUGUCGAGCCAUUUUGCCACACCCUCUUCUGAAACCUAUAUCAGACGUAAAUUUUCACCAGGUCUGACGUGUGUGCAAAGUUUCAUGACUUUUCGAGCAUGUUUAGGCCCUCAAAAAUGCGAUUCAUUUUGGAGAAGAAGAAGAAGAAGAAGAAGAAGAAGAAGAAGAAGAAGAAUAAUAAU
ensembl:lncRNA